GCCACUACGUCUUGCUAGGCCCUGCCAUCCACAUCUGCUGCUCUCAGUCGUGUCUAGUCUUCAACACAGGUGGAAACCAGCAGAAGCUUUUCAUAUACUCAAAACUGGAAGUUGGACUUAGAUUUUGUUGUUAUUGUUUUGAAACAAGAUUGACAAGGUUACUGGAUCUGUAGUAGCCCAGACUGGCCAGGGACUCUCUGUGUCCCAGGCUGGUUGAUGAUUCUCCUGCCACAGUUUCCAGAGAGCUGGGAUUACAACCCUCUCUCUCCCCUUUUAAGGCAAGUCUACUGAAAUACAUUACUAGUGGUACUUAUUCUUUUAAAAAUAAACAUUAUGUAUGUUCCUUCCAGGAAAGAUUUCAGUGGUACUCUAGCUGCAGAAUGCUUCUGGAUAAAUGUCCUAGAGUCAGACUUCAGGAAGAUGGCCCUAAGAGACUGAUGCUGAGCUAAAGCUGGUGAACAGACUCCCCUUGGAAAGUGGAGGAGGGAGGGACUACUUGGUUGGCUUCCCUACUACUGUAGAUUGAAAGCUCUAUUUUAUGUGGAGUUUGGAUUCGAGUGAAGCAAGAGGCUGGGUACCAGUUGGGAGACAGCUGCCAUAAUUUUUAAUGAGCGUGGGAGAAAGAAAGCUGAAGAGAGAUAUGGAGAAGACAGGACCAGGACAGGAUGAGGUUGCCAAGUUCAAAUC